rnacentral:tRNA from 20 species
GCCCAGAUGGCGGAAUUGGUAGACGCGCACGGUUCAGGUCCGUGUGCCGCAAGGCGUGAAGGUUCGAGUCCUUUUCUGGGCACCA